UGGCGAACGGGUGAGUAACGCGUGAGGAACCUGCCUCAAAGAGGGGGACAACAGUUGGAAACGACUGCUAAUACCGCAUAAGCCCACGGGUCGGCAUCGAUCUGAGGGAAAAGGAGUGAUCCGCUUUGAGAUGGCCUCGCGUCCGAUUAGCUAGUUGGUGAGGUAACGGCCCACCAAGGCGACGAUCGGUAGCCGGACUGAGAGGUUGAACGGCCACAUUGGGACUGAGACACGGCCCAG
rnacentral:rRNA from 1 species